rnacentral:rRNA from 1 species
UACGGAGGGUGCAAGCGUUAUCCGGAUUCACUGGGUUUAAAGGGUGCGUAGGCGGGCAGGUAAGUCAGUGGUGAAAUCCCCGAGCUUAACUUGGGAACUGCCGUUGAUACUAUCUGUCUUGAAUACUGUGGAGGUAAGCGGAAUAUGUCAUGUAGCGGUGAAAUGCGUAGAUAUCGAGAGGAACACCUGCGGCGAAGGCGGGUUGCUGGGCCGACACUGACGCUGAUGCGCGAAAGCCAGGGGAGCGAACGGG